GCACCGUUUGCAUCUCACAAGAUGCUCUUUGUGUUCCUGUGGGUGGCCACGGUGUUGGUGUUGGUGUCGCAGAGGAGCACGAUCAGAGGGUUCUGGUGUUGGGCGGCGUGCCGGUGAGGCUACCGUCGAGCUACGGCCGAUGGUGUUCUAUCUGACGGAGUUCGACAUCGGCGUUAUUCUCAACACUGAAUGUGCCACCUGGGCGUUGGUUUAC
rnacentral:lncRNA from 1 species